AGCGAACGCUGGCGGCAGGCCUAACACAUGCAAGUCGAACGAAGUCUUCGGACUUAGUGGCGGACGGGUGAGUAACACGUGGGAACGUGCCUUUAGGUUCGGAAUAACUCAGGGAAACUUGUGCUAAUACCGAAUGUGCCCUUCGGGGGAAAGAUUUAUCGCCUUUAGAGCGGCCCGCGACUCAUUAGCUAGUUGGUGAGGUAAAGGCUCACCAAGGCUACGAUCAGUAGCUGGUCUGAGAGGAUGACCAGCCACAUUGGGACUGAGACACGGCCCAAACUCCUACGGGAGGCAGCAGUGGGGAAUCUUGCGCAAUCGGCGAAAGCCUGACGCAGCCAUGCCGCGUGGAUGAUGAAGGUCUUAGGAUUGUAAAAUCCUUUCACCGGUGAAGAUAAUGACGGUAGCCGGAGAAGAAGCCCCGGCUAACUUCGUGCCAGCAGCCGCCGUAAAAC
rnacentral:rRNA from 1 species